rnacentral:rRNA from 1 species
UACGUAGGGUGCGAGCGUUGUCCGGAAUUAUUGGGCGUAAAGAGCUCGUAGGCGGUUUGUUGCGUCGGCUGUGAAAAACCUACAGCUUAACUGUGGGCCUGCAGUCGAUACGGGCAGACUUGAGUUCGGCAGGGAGGAUGUGAAUUCCUGGUGUAGCGGUGAAAUGCGCAGAUAUCAGGAGGAACACCGGUGGCGAAGGCGGCUCUGGGACCGGUAU